rnacentral:rRNA from 1 species
UAAGGAAUAUUGGACAAUGGAGGCAACUCUGAUCCAGCCAUGCCGCGUGAAGGAAUAAGGCCCUAUGGGUUGUAAACUUCUUUUAGACGGGACAAAACCCCUUUACGUGUAAAGGGUUGAUGGUACUGUCAGAAUAAGCAUCGGCUAACUUCGUGCCAGCAGCCGCGGUAAUACGAAGGAUGCAAGCGUUAUCCGAAAUUAUUGGGUUUAAAGGGUGCGUAGGCGGACUAAUAAGUCAGUGGUGAAAGCCUGCAGCUUAACUGCAGAAUUGCCAUUGAUACUGUUAGUCUUGAGUACAGUUGAGGUAGGCGGAAUGUGUCAUGUAGCGGUGAAAUGCUUAGAUAUGACACAGAACACCGAUUGCGAAGGCAGCUUGCUAAGCUGUAACUGACGCUGAGGCACGAAAGCGUGGGGAGCAAACA